UUUUGCUGGCUAACUGGAGAUAACUUCUUCCCCAAGCUGGCUAUGAACGGUAAGAUAUCGGCUUCCUGAGUGGUUAGGAUUACAUGUGUGCACCAACAGUAUCUGUCAACAUUUUCUAGUACAUUGGAAGAGGUGCAUAAACUAUGUGCCUGAAAUUCUAUUCCAAGAUAUACAUGACUAAGAAUCUUUUACACAUGUAUAGAGCAGAUAUUUAUGAGAAUCUUAACUGAAGGUGUAAUUGCAAAGCUGAUUACAAUUGUGAUUGCUAAUCUAUCAUUGUAACUACCUACAUUUCUAAAUUGUUACCUCUAGAAAUAACAGAAAUGCCUAUCAAUGGGAAACGCAUAAAUAAUGGUCUAGCCAUACGACACCACACAGGUACAGAGAUGAGUGUACAAGUUGGUAGUACAUCUACAAAAAUGGGAAGUUUGAAGAAACCUUUCAGUUAAGAGUCAGAUCUUAGCUGUGUAUUGUGUUCACACUUGUAAUCUUAUCUCCUGAAAGGAUCAUGUUUCAAGGCUAGACAGAGAAGGGGGAAAAGUUUAUGAGCUUCUAAUCUCAACCAACAAAAAGCAUGACACAGUGAUACUUAUCUGUCAUCCCAGACAGGUGGGAAAUAUAAAUACGAGAAUCUCAAUUGAGAUUGACCCAAGCAUAAAUUCAAGGCCUUUCACAAAAUGUAACAAAAGCAAAAAGGGGCAAGAUAUGGCUCAAGUGAUAGAAGAUGGCAAUCAUAAGUUUAAAUCCAAGGAAUGAAGAAAAAAAAGACUAAAAAUUAUCCUAUCUACCCACAGAAUUAUAAUCAAUGUUUACUGUAUCUCAAGCAAUUAGAAAGGACUACGAAGACCAUUCUGGUCUUCAAUGUAGGGGGGUAAAACAACCUAAGAAGCUGCUCUGUCAAGAGCCAAGAACCACAGGAGCCUCAGAGAAGUGAGUGGAGAUAAAUGCAUAAAAUAUAUGUAUGAAUAAUAUAUGCAAUCAAAUUUGAAGCUGGAUAAAAAAUGAUAGCUUGGAUUACAGUGGUGUCAGUGAGAUAAGUGUAUGGAUUAAAGAAAUAUGUGAAAGUCAUCUUGUUUGGGGAUGGACAGGAAAAUGAGAGACGAUGGAAGCAGUGUCAGAAUCCCAAUGGAGAUGUAACAGGAAAGAAGCAGCAGUGAAGAGAAGUGUAUGUGGUAGAGUUCAGCAAUCAGACUUCCAGAAGGGGAAGGGGAAGGAGCAUGGAGGAUAGAAGAAUCAGCAUCAGUAUUGAAAUAAGUAUCACCUCAAGCUGGGAUGUUAGAAGAUGGUUAACAUCUCCUCCUAUAUGCAUUUAACUUCAACAAACCAGCAGUCCUUGCCCUGGAGAGAGGUGGAGGCGAAAACAAAGGGAAUAAAACGCAACAUUCUACUUAAGAGCAAUGUGUAU